rnacentral:misc_RNA from 1 species
UUUCCGUAGGUGAACCUGCGGAAGGAUCAUCAUCAAGUUUUAACUAAUAUCAAGGACUCUGUGAGGGGCAACCUUUGCAGAUUCUCCUUGGUAUUUAACCAAUGUGAAUUGGGGGAAGUAUAUUGAAGGACGCAAGUCUUGACUAUAUAUUGAACUCAUUUUUUCUCUUGAUGCAAAGACCAAUGUGUGUCAAAGCACAUAUGUUUUAGUGUCUUGAGAGAUAUUAACUAUUAAAAGAGUCGGAUAAAAAACAAAAAGUUAAAAACAACUUUUAACAAUGGAUCUCUUGGCUCUU